rnacentral:rRNA from 1 species
UACCAGCACCCCGAGUGGUCGGACGAUUAUUGGGCCUAAAGCAUCCGUAGCCGGUUUUACAAGUCCUCCGUUAAAUCCAGCUGCUUAACAGAUGGGCUGCGGAGGAUACUAUAAGACUAGGAGGCAGGAGAGGCAAGCGGUACUCAGUGGGUAGGGGUAAAAUCCGUUGAUCCAUUGAAGACCACCAGUGGCGAAGGCGGCUUGCCAGAAUGCGCUCGACGGUGAGGGAUGAAAGCUGGGGGAGCAACCGG